rnacentral:tRNA from 1 species
GCCCUCGGUGGCUCAGAUGGAUAGAGCGUUUGCCAGGUAAGCAGAAAUCCCGGGUUCGAGUCCCGGUCGGGGCA